AUUGAACGCUGGCGGCAUGCCUUACACAUGCAAGUCGAACGGUAACGGGCCUUCGGGUGCCGCCGAGUGGCGAACGGGUUCGUAAUACAUCGGAACGUGCCCGAUCGUGGGGGAUAACGAGGCGAAAGCUUUGCUAAUACCGCAUACGAUCUACGGAUGAAAGCAGGGGACCGCAAGGCCUUGCGCGGACGGAGCGGCCGAUGGCAGAUUAGGUAGUUGGUGGGAUAAAAGCUUACCAAGCCGACGAUCUGUAGCUGGUCUGAGAGGAUGAUCAGCCACACUGGGACUGAGACACGGCCCAGACUCCUACGGGAGGCAGCAGUGGGGAAUUUUGGACAAUGGGCGCAAGCCUGAUCCAGCCAUGCCGCGUGCAGGAUGAAGGCCUUCGGGUUGUAAACUGCUUUUGUACGGAACGAAAAGCCUUCUUUUAAUACAGGAGGGUCAUGACGGUACCGUAAGAAUAAGCACCGGCUAACUACGUG
rnacentral:rRNA from 1 species